GUCGAAUGACUUGGAAAAGUCAGUCAAAGAGGGUAAAAACCCCGUAGAUGAAAUUUGGAAGGCACCUAGGAGGAUCCUGAGUACGGCGGAACACGAGGAAUUCCGUCGGAAUCCGGGAGGACCAUCUCCCAAGGCUAAAUACUCCCUAGUGACCGAUAGUGAACCAGUACCGUGAGGGAAAGGUGAAAAGCACCCCGGAAGGGGAGUGAAAUAGAACCUGAAACCGUGUGCCUACAACAAGUCAAAGCCCGUUAAUGGGUGAUGGCGUGCCUUUUGUAGAAUGAACCGGCGAGUUACGAUUGCAUGCGAGGUUAAGUUGAAGAGACGGAGCCGCAGCGAAAGCGAGUCUGAAUAGGGCGUUUGAGUAUGUAGUCGUAGACCCGAAACCAUGUGAUCUACCCAUGUCCAGGUUGAAGGUGCGGUAAAACGCACUGGAGGACCGAACCCACGUACGUUGAAAAGUGCGGGGAUGAGGUGUGGGUAGCGGAGAAAUUCCAAACGAACUUGGAGAUAGCUGGUUCUCUCCGAAAUAGCUUUAGGGCUAGCCUCGGAAUUGAGAAUGAUGGAGGUAGAGCACUGUUUGGACUAGGGGCCCAUCUCGGGUUACCGAAUUCAGAUAAACUCCGAAUGCCAUUCAUUCAUAUCCGGGAGUCAGACUGUGAGUGAUAAGAUCCAUAGUCGAAAGGGAAACAGCCCAGACCACCAGCUAAGGUCCCAAAAUAUAUGUUAAGUGGAAAAGGAUGUGGGGUUGCACAGACAACUAGGAUGUUGGCUUAGAAGCAGCCACCAUUUAAAGAGUGCGUAAUAGCUCACUAGUCGAGUGACCCUGCGCCGAAAAUGUACCGGGGCUAAACAUAUUACCGAAGCUGUGGAGUACACCUUUAGGUGUAUUGGUAGGAGAGCGUUCUAAGGGCGUUGAAGGCAGAUCGUGAGGACUGCUGGAGCGCUUAGAAGUGAGAAUGCCGGUAUGAGUAGCGAAAGACAGGUGAGAAUCCUGUCCACCGAAUGACUAAGGUUUCCUGGGGAAGGCUCGUCCGC
rnacentral:rRNA from 1 species